UCUUGCCCGAUGGGUGGGGUCUCCACGGGGUCUGGGAGCAGGUGGAUAGGAUGGGUGCUGCACAGAGAAGGCAGUGGCCACAUGACCCUGAGCCGGGAGGGUGGACGUGCUGGGCUUCAUGAUGAAUCCCGCAGGCGGCAUCGUGCGGAUGACCCUGAGCCUGACGGUCAUCAUGAUGGAGGCCACCAGCAACGUGACGUACGGCUUUCCCAUCAUGCUGGUGCUCAUGACCGCCAAGAUCGUGGGCGACGUCUUCAUCGAGGGCCUGUACGACAUGCACAUUCAGCUGCAGAGUGUGCCCUUCCUGCACUGGGAGGCCCCGGUCACCUCGCACUCGCUCACUGCCAGGGAGGUGAUGAGCACACCAGUGACCUGCCUGAGGCGGCGUGAGAAGGUCGGCGUCAUUGUGGACGUGCUGAGCGACACGGCGUCCAAUCACAACGGCUUCCCUGUGGUGGAGCAUGCCGAUGACACCCAGGUACCGGGCACCCCAUAGACCGGGUCCUGCCUAUGUGACCUCUGUCGAGUCCAUUGGUGGGAA
rnacentral:sRNA from 1 species